rnacentral:rRNA from 1 species
UGGGGAAUCUUAGACAAUGGGGGAAACCCUGAUCUAGCCAUGCCGCGUGAGCGAUGAAGGCCUUAGGGUUGUAAAGCUCUUUCAGUGGGGAAGAUAAUGACGGUACCCACAGAAGAAGCCCCGGCUAACUCCGUGCCAGCAGCCGCGGUAAUACGGAGGGGGCUAGCGUUGUUCGGAAUUACUGGGCGUAAAGCGCACGUAGGCGGACGGACAAGUCAGAGGUGAAAUCCCGGGGCUCAACCCUGGAACUGCCUUUGAAACUGUCUGUCUUGAGGUCGGGAGAGGUGAGUGGAAUUCCGAGUGUAGAGGUGAAAUUCGUAGAUAUUCGGAGGAACACCGGUGGCGAAGGCGGCUCACUGGCCCGAUACUGACGCUGAGGUGCGAAAGCGUGGGGAGCAAACAGG